rnacentral:tRNA from 1 species
GCAGUGCGUGGCCGAAUGGUUACGCUGUCCGCUUUGUAAGCGGAUGAUCCUGGGUUCGAUUCCCAUCUGCUUCA